rnacentral:lncRNA from 1 species
AAAAUGUAAAACUUUUUUCACAUGUUGAACUCUUUCAUAAAUAUUACACAAGCAGAAGACUUUCAUUGAAACAUUUAAAUCUUUACAACAUCUACUUGAACCAUCUAAACUUUAGAGUAUACAACACUUGGGACUAAUCCCAUAAAAGACAAUAAGAUGAAGAGUAUGACAUAAGGGACAUGUGGAUAUUAUCCUCGAAUUGAUGAGGACUCACUAAUACUUCAUCUUCAAGCCUUGAAAACCUAUCCAUCCUCCAUGGCACAUCAAGACUUCUGAUUCCCUACACAUUAGUUAAAAAUUGAAAAGAAGGGGUUAGCACAUUAGAUGUGCUAAGUAUGUAAGCCAUGACCAUGAAAAAGGAACAUUUAGUAAAUAGCACGCUUUUCAUGAAUUUCGAAUAAAACAUCAUAAUAUAAUCAUAAAAACCACAUUUAAUAACUUAGAAACACAUAAGAAAUCAUUUAAGCAAAUAAUCACAUUUUAAGAAGAAUUAAAGUGAAGUCACUUCACUGUACAGUGGAAUCAAAUGAUUAAUUUUAAAACUCAUUUAGAUUCAUAAAACCAACAUUAUACUCAUUUGAAAAACCCUCACUUUAACAAUCCAACAUUAUACCAUUGAUAAAGUAUGAAGUAAAGCCGUAAUUCCUCAAGAACCUAUACAUAACGAUUUAAUGGAUGGAUGAACAUAUCGAUCACUAUAAGAAACCUCAAGUACCUCGAAAGAACAAAGUUUUUGGUGAUUUCUUAAAAACCUAGAGCAACUUCUUGAAAUCUCCUCCCUUCACCUCUUGAACUUUGCCCUAACUUGAUUAAACGUUUUUGAGAGAUUGAAAACUGAUUUCAAUCUGCUUAUACCCUAGUUUGGGUGAGUCAAAACAUGUGAUCUUAAUAGGUUAAAGAAAAGACCAAUAUACCCCUAUUUAAAUGGUUGAAAAGCUCUAUCUAGAGAGGCUACCCUUAAACGAACAUAUCUUCAUCCAAACUCAAAAUUUCAAAAUUUUGGUGGUGUUGAAAAGAGGACUCAAUGAUCUUCAAUUUGAUAUCUCAUGGGUGAUCUAACUCAUCCCUUGCCAAAAGUUAUGGUCAUUUGAAGUUAGCCUGGAACUCAUAAUUUAAGAAUAACUUGCACUUCUCUCAAAUUGGCUAUUUCCAAUUUAGUUCUUUUUAAAAUUAUCUCUUUCUGAUAUCGAGGUGUUAUAAUGAAUAAUAGCCACCCACUUCUCUUUAUUUCUAGAGAAAUUCCAAACUAAGGUAAUAACUCUUUGUCAACUAUUAUUUAAGUAUCCACAUUAGGUUUAUAUUGAUUACUUAUUAUUGUCGGAGUUGGGUUAGUUGGAUGUUUCCCACUCUGUUCUACUUAGUGCAAUCUCAUUCAAGGACGAAUGUUAACAAAGUGGAGAUAUUGUAACACCUUAGACUUUGAUCAGUUUUUAGUUUUAGGUCAACUUCAAAUGACUAUAUAUUUCAGCGCAUAAAAUGUUAGAUGCCCCAUGAGGUACAAAUGGAAGGACUUUGAGAAUUCUUUCCAACUCCACCAAGUUUGCUAAUUUAUUAGCUAGGAUGAAAGAUUUAUGCCACUUUAUUGCAACCUCUAUAAUUAAGGCAUUUCAUCAAUUUAACAAGGGGUAUUUUGGUCCUUUAGUCACCCCAUUAAGCCUAAAUAUUUUUCUUAGCCACAUAGGGGUCUAAACUGAUUGAGGUCAGUUUCCAUUCAUAUUUUAACGCUUUAAAAGUUAGGGCAAAGUUCAAAAAAAAUAAAAGAGAAGGUUUCAAGAGUUCAUGAAGAAAUUUAGGGAAAUCGCCAACAACUUUGUUCUUUCAAUGUAUGUAAGCGUCUCAUCGUGUUUUUUUCACCCACAUUCCACACAUGUAAUUCUUCCAUGAAUUCAUUCCUGAAAUUGUUGUAGUCAGAUUCUUGAUGAAGUUCUUGAGGUUUUAGCUUUAUUCAUUAACUAUAGAGUUUUGUUGAGUUCUUGAGGUGAGGAUUUUGCAAAUGAGUUGAACAUUUAUAUUUAUUUGAGCACUUCAGACAAUUUUGAGUUAAACUACCUUUUUGGUGAUGCAAAUACAAAUAUUUAUGGUCAUUAACGGGCGCUUCUUUGAUCCCACUCAUUCCAACUAGCGUUGGUGAGUCUCCUUCCUUUCUAAAGGAAUCCACAUUGCUAUUUCUUUUACCUAAUUAGCUUUUUGGGGGUAUUGUCCCGAAUCCUAUCAUAUUAUUUAGAGACUUCAAAGAUAGUAGUAGUGGAAGAGUCUUUUUUACCAUUUCCUUUGUUAAUGUUUUAAAGAAUUUUAGUUGAUUAAUAUGUUCACUUAAAUACUUUCAGAUAUCUAGUGAGUUAAUCAGUUAUUCAGUCCUUAUGAGUUAAUAUUUGCAAUUUAGUUCCUCUUUUAGUUGAGUAAGUCUUCCGCUAAGUAGUCAUCACAGAAUCUCUUGGGACUGAGGUGGUUCUAGAGUUCUGUCCAUGCCCAUGGUGUAGGCUUGGAUAGUGACAAACAUGGUAUUAGAGCACAAAGUUCAAAAGUCCUAGGGUUUCUAUGAUGUCGUGUUCGUAGAGUCCUAUACAUCAGUGUGAAGCGCACCAGUUUUAUAAUUAGGAUGCUGGGACAUAUAGGAAAAUUUUCACUUCAUUAUUACUCUUUUUCGUGCGAUAGAGUUCAACUAUAUAAAAUUUUCUUUCUAAUUUUUUCUUGCUCGUAUAUUUAAAUAUCAAGCCACCACAAAAAGUUGUUCAAGGUCAUCCAGCAAGGAGAAAUGUUGAUCUACAAAACCAAGGGGUAUCCAAUGCAACCCUUUCAAUGAUAGGUCGCAAAUGCUAAGUGACGGGAUGCCAUCUAGAUAUGGAGUCAAGUUGUGGCGACUCAUGCUGGUAAGAAAAGAGUCAUUUGUCAGGAUUUAACUUAUACAUCCAAGAUCCGUGAGUUCUUGAGAAUGAAUCUUCUAAAAAUCAUAGGGUCAAAUGUCAUUGAUGAUUCAGAGAAGUUUGUGGAGGAUCUACAAAAAGUGUUUGAAGUUAUGUGCAUCGUUGAUGUUGAGCGAGUGAAGUUAUUUUUGUUCCAACUUAAGGGUUUUUCUAGGAUUUGAUACGACCAAUGGAAGAACAACAUGGCUGAACGGGCACCAAUUUUGAGAUGUACUACUUUUGAAGUACCUUCCUAGGAAGCUUCUUUCCGCAUGAGCUAAGAGAAGUAAAGGUGAGAGAAUUAUUGAAUCUUAAAUAGGAGGCCAUGAGUAUGCUUGAUUACAAUCACAACUUCACCCGUUGUCCCAUGAUGCUACAGAGAUGGCGGAAGAUAUGAGAAACAUGAUAAUUCUAUUGUGUAUGGAUUGUCUCAUUUGUCAAGUAAGGUUGACAUGGUAGCUAUGUUAAUAGGGGACAUGGACAUAUGCCUGGAUAAGAUAAGUUGAAAUAUAGGGAAGAUUUCUGGUGUAAGAGGGAUAAGACAACAAGUCAUGAUCAUUAGUUGAUGAUGGAGUAGGUCCAGAUGAUCUAUGCUUAAAAGAUGAUCAGUUCAUGUUUCUGAUUUUCUGUUGGUCUGACUCAUGACUUGUUGUCUUAGUCCUUUUCCUAUGAAACUCUUCCUUAUCUUUCAACUUGUCUUCCUCAACCUGUCACAUGAAUCAUGAUCUUGGCUAUGCCCAUUUAUCGUAUAAACAUAGUUGUCUUACCUUCCUUACUCGAUAAGUCGGAUAGUCCAAACACAAACAAGCUCAUUCUUUUCCUCACAACAACUACAAUCUACAAAGAAUGGUGGGAUAUUUGAUUAAACUUGAAGUUAUAAUCUUUCGAACUCAUAGAUUCAUGUUUCAUAUUGAGAAAUUAUCUUACCUUCGCUUCCGAUAGCUCUCAAUGAAAGAAGUGGUCUAAGAAGACAUCUUCAAAAACAACCCAAGUCUACUGUGGUACACCCUCGACCCGGUUCUUCUUCCACUAGUCAAACCAUAUCCUAGUAAUGUCUUUGAGUUGUUAAGUAGCUAACUCCACACGCUAAGAAUUAACAACAUGCAUGACCUUAAACAUCUUAUGCAAUUCAUCCACAAAGUUUUCUAGAUUCUCAUUGAGAUUUUACCAAGUGAACUCUAGGAAGUUAUUCUUAGAAAUUCUUGGAAUCUGGAUGUAUCAUUCCCUUCUUGAUGUCUAGCUCUUUGGUGACCAACCUUUGUUGUCACCACUUGAGUCAACAUCAGAAUUGCGUUCAUGAAUUCAACAUUGGUGACAUUUCCCUAAGGUCGUUGAAUUUUCGGUGCAUUGAUAAUCUAUUGAACUUGAGGAUUAACAUUUCUCCUAGUAUGAAGUCCUUGAACAAAUCUUUGUGGAGGGAUGAUAUAAAAGAUACGCGUAAGCACGAGUUAGAAUAAACUUUCAUAGAGUUGAACUCCAUCACACGAAAAUGAGUAGAAGAAAGUGAAGUGUUUCCUAAAUGUUGUAAACUCUUAAUUAUAGAUGUGACGCACUUCGCACUGAUAACAUGUCUACAAAAAUGCCUUCAUAGACACCCUAUGACUAUUGAACUAUGAGCACUAAUACCAAGUUUUUCACGACCUAUGCUUACACCCUGGAUGUAAGUGGCACUCAAGAACCAUUUUUGAUCCCCAAGUAAACCCUUGACAUGGCUACAUGACUUACACAACACUAGACAAUAAGUGGAAGAUUAAAACAAGUGAACACUUAGACAUUUAAUAAAGUCUUAAAGUAUUAUCUUGCAAAAUACUUAACAUGAGAAAUAAGUUAAAUAAAACAUUUUGAGAAAACAAUGGGAAAAUUUAAUUAUGUCUGUCUAAUAAUUCUUUAACAAUUCAAGAUAGAUGUCGGGAAAAGAUCCACGAUACCUCAACUACUACUAAAUCUGAAAUGAAACUGGAGUCUCCUAGAACUAAGGCGGCCUCACCAACUAUUGUUUGUGAGUAAAUAGUAAUCUCAACAAAUCAUCUGUUGAUGGUCUAAAGCACAUGUAUGUGCAUCAUGAAACAAUACGUGUUGAAUGACGUCAAUACAUUGAAUAUACUGGUAAGUAAUAAGGUUAGAGUAAAAAACUUACUUGGAUGUCUUAAAACAAAAUAACUGGAUCAAUACAUGAAUAUGAAAUUAAAAAAGUUUAAGCUUUACAAUAAAAUAUACAAUGAAAGCAACAUGAAAACAAUAUGUUUACUUUGUAGGGAGUUUCUCUAACCUACAACCAUUACCAUGAGCCUAGAAAUGAAAUAAUAUUUUGCCCACGUUUCAAGGGCCAUCAUAUACUUUUCCAUGAUUGAGGUCUGAGGAUAAUGUUGUGACUAUGGAUUCAUCUAGUAGGCUUUCUCACUGGCUUUGAGGAGUUGCAUGAAGAAUCAAUGUUAUCCUAUCCUGUGUUGGCUACAUAUGUUUAUGGAACUAUUGAGUUAUAAAAGAUAGUUUUGUGGAACUAUUGAGUUAUAAAAGACUCUAACCCUAUUUGGUGCUUGAUACUAAUACCCAAAAUAAGUGAUAUAAUUUUACUCUCAUUUCACCUAAUUCUAUGAUACCGUGGGACUUCGGGGCUCUCCGGUUAAGCAAGGUCCAUAGUUCCAGAAAACCCUGGCUUAUCUGUGGCACAACAUAAGUAGGGAAUUAAAUUUUUGGGCCCGAAGAUACAUUCGAGAUAAAAGACUCUAUGUCCUCUCCGCAAUGCAGAGAGGGGGUGAUCGACUAAUGAUAGAAAUUUGAACCGUCUCUGCGACAUGGGCCUGGACGUGAACAUUUGGUCGUUUUUUUCUUCUUUUUUCAAACUCACUUUAAUCCAAAAAAAUCAAGUGCAAUUUUAUUGAAAUCUCAAUCAAAUUAUAUCCCCAAAUACAAACCCUAUGCAAUGUCAUUGACAUUUCACUCAAAUUCUAUCAACAAACACCACUCAUUUGCAAGAUCCUUACCUCAAGAACUCCAAGCCUCCAUUGUUAAAGAAUGAUACUAAAACUUAAUAACUCUUAGAAAGUACUUACAUAAAUAAAUUCUUGGACAAAUUUAGUGAAAGAAUUGCAUCACUGGCGUGAGCAAGAACAAGUCCAUCACUAUGAGAAACCUCACAUAUCUAGAAAUAACAAUGUUUAUUCGCAAAAUUUCUCAAUUCUUGAACUUAACCCAUUCUUCAAACACAACCAUAAAACCCCUAGUUUUUUAAACGUGAAUGGAAUUCAAAAUAUGAUUUAACACUUAAUUUGUGUUAGGAGAACAUUCUAAUAUAGGUGGAUGAAAGGAAAAUACCAAAAUACUCUUUCCUAAAACGUAUGGAAUGCCUUACAUGAAGAGGCUUAACUCAAAACAACCAUAACUUCUUACUCGGACCUCGCAAUUUAGCAAACUUGGUGGCCAUGGAAAGAAAAACGAAAGACCUUUGAUUUGAUAUCUCAUCAGCCACCAAAACUCUUUAUGUGAUAAAAAUUAUGGUCUUUUGAACUUGGCCCAAAACUUGAUAACAGACCGGUGUUACAGGUACGUGAUCGAAUACCAUGAGAAGCGAUCCUUGAACAUCUUAAUUUUUGUAGGAGAUACGAGACUACUCAUAAUUUUAUUAAUGAAUCCUUAGAAGAUAAUUUAGGGUGUGACUCAUAUCCAAUUAAGCCUCGAACUUUUACUAGGCUUUUGGGAAAAUGGUGACUUCCAUAGCAUGUAACAACUUUGCAGUCACAAAGCAAGGUGACCUGUUUAAUGUGAAGUUGUGUAUGCUUCCAUUGCCGCCAAAUUGUGAGAUGGUAUUAGGAAACCAACGGACACUUCAAUUUGAUGACAAUGGAAGCUUAUACAACUUCACACUAAACAGUUCACCUUGCUUUAUGACUUGAAAGUUGUUACAUGCUAUGGAAGUCACAAUUUUCCCAAAAGCCUAGUAAAAGUUCGAGGCUUAAUUGGAUAUGAGUCACACCCUAAAUUAUCUUCUAAGGAUUCAUCAAUAAAACAUUAUGAGUAGUCUAGUCUCUCCUACAAUUAUUAGGAUGUUCAAGGGUCGCUUCUCAGGUAUCCGAUCACGUACCUGUAACACCUUGAACACCGGUCCGUUAUCAAGUUUUGGAUCAACUUCAAAAGACCAUAAUUUAAGCAGUGCAUCUUGCACUAAAACUUGAAUGUUGUUAAAUAUUCUAGAAGUCGCCCUUUUUCUGAAAGUGCAGUAAACAAUUCGAAGCUUGAUUGGCUAUGAGUCAUAUCCUAGACUAUCCGCUAAAGAUUCAUCAACAAAUUUAUGAUUAGCCUUGGUCCCUCCUACAAAGAUUAUGAUUUUCAAGGUUCAUGGGAUGUCCAAUAUUGGAGACCAACAUCUUUGAAGUUGUUUUAUUAGGGCUCACUUUCCCAUACUACCUUUUUUCCUUUAGUUUAUUUUUAGUUUAUGUUAUGAUGUAAUACGUUGAAUAAAUAAAACGGUGUUGUUCUUCUUUCAUGGACUUUAAACUCCAAAUUGGCGAAAAAUGAUUUGAAUCAAUUUUGGUGCAUCCGUUAUUUGUCAUUUUAGGCCUACCUCUUGGUUAACAAGAUCCUUUCAUUUAAGGUGUUUAUUUGCUGCAACACUUAUGUGACCUUUAUUCACUCUUUCAACUCUUUUGUUAAUAUUGUAAAAGUAUUGUGUCAUUCUUUUGAGAUUUUAAAUUUCUUCAUGUUUUGUUUUACUUAUGUUAUGUUCUACCUCAUACUUGUGUUUGAUUUAUUUAUAUUUCUUAAAGAUUGUCUAGUAUUUGAAUUUUGGAUUGACUAAGAAUUAGUAAUAUGACAAAUAUUUCAACAUUUGAAAUUUUUUUAAUCAUCCUUCUAUUCCUACUCACAUCCUUUCUCUACAAAUAUCUCUGACACACAUCAAUUUUAAUGUCUUCCAAAGUGAGGAAUAUAUGAAAAAAUAAAAAAGUUUAAGCUAGAUACACUACAACAAAAACUGCAUAACCUGGAGAAGAAGGUGAAUAGAAGAGUAAACUCAAAACCUGUCAUGACUUGAGGUAUAAGAAGUUAUGUUUGCACCCAAGAGUUGAAUUGCCAUCAAAAUUUAAACUUCCAAAAUUUAACAUUUUUGAUCGGCACGGAGACCCAAAUGCACAUCUGAAGGUUUUUUGUAGUAGAAUAAUUGGCUUAGAAAAUAAUGAAUCUCUCCUAAUGAGAUUAUUUAUUCAAAUCUUACAUGAAUAGACUUCACUUGGUACGUUAAAUAAAACUUUGAUAAAUCGUUCUCACGGAAAGAUAUGGCUCGAGACAUUCUAGAACAUUAUAAAUUUAACAUUAAAGAUGAUCCUACAAUAUUGGACUUUCUCAAAGUAAAGAAAUAUGUUAUGAAUUUUCGGAGGAUGUCAUCCGAUAGAGUCUAGAAGUUUUCAAAAUACGUCAUUUACUACAUGGAAAGGAGUUGGUACAAACUCCAAUCAGAUUACUUGAUGGUAUAUACCGUUUUAAAAUGAGAUCUUAAUCAUAUUUAUUAUUACCAACUAUAAGCAAGUUAGAAGUGUAAUUUCAAAUAAGGCAAACAGAAUUCGUCAAUUAACAACUCAUAAAUUCAUAUCAUAUAUCAUCAGGCAAAGGAAAUAAUUUAUUUAAGGAAGAAAACAAAUAUAGUUCAAAAUUAAAUGUCGAGACACACAUUUACAAGUAUAAGAAGAGUGACUAAACUCUAGCAAAUAAUAAGCAAAGAAAAAAAGAAAAAUAUCAGUUUAAGGGUACCCAAUAAGUUCAAAAUUGCAAUCAACCAUUGGAUAUAAUAAACCAAGAAAGAAUUGGAGUAAAUUACGACUAAAUUAAGGAUUGAAUUAAUAACAUUGAGCAAAUCAGGCAAUUAGCAAAUCAAACUGGCGGAUCUUAACAAAUCACACAAAAAAAUCGAUAGAAAUCAAAAAAGGAAACAAACUCGGAUGGACCUUAACAGAUUUGUCUUUAAGCCGACUGAAAAACUUGAGCUACCGUGUUGGAUCGAUAUUCUGGCCGUCAUUGUUGUAGACCUCGUAGCCACUGGCUGGAGCGUUGUUAUUCUCGUCGCCCAGAGUCAUUAUUCACCGCUUGUUGGUCGAAGCCGCUGGAGCUGGUGUUGUUUCUGUAGGUUUUUCCAAGUC